UUUAGAGUUUGAUCAUGGCUCAGGAUGAACGCUAGCGGCAGGCCUAAUACAUGCAAGUCGUACGGGAUUCGGUCUUUCGGGACUGAUGAGAGUGGCGCACGGGUGCGUAACGCGUAUGCAACCUACCUUAUACUGCGGGAUAGCCCGGGGAAACCCGGAUUAAUACCGCAUGGGACAGAGAGACCGCAUGGUACUUUCGGUUAAAGAUUUAUCGGUAUAAGCUGGGCAUGCGUAGGAUUAGUUAGUUGGCGGGGUAACGGCCCACCAAGACUGUGAUCCUUAGGGGUUCUGAGAGGAAGGUCCCCCACACUGGCACUGAGAUACGGGCCAGACUCCUACGGGAGGCAGCAGUAGGGAAUAUUGGGCAAUGGGCGGAAGCCUGACCCAGCCAUGCCGCGUGCAGGAAGACGGCGUUCUGCGUUGUAAACUGCUUUUAUGAAGGAAGAAAAGGCCCAUGCGUGGGAAAUAGCCGGACCUGGGAAUAAGCCCCGCAU
rnacentral:rRNA from 1 species